rnacentral:tRNA from 1 species
GGGCCAUUAGCUCAGUCGGUAGAGCACCUGACUUUUAAUCAGGGUGUCGAUGGUUCGAGUCCAUCAUGGCUCACCA